rnacentral:rRNA from 1 species
UACGGGGGAGCAAGCGUUGUUCGGAUUUACUGGGCGUUAAAGGGCGCGUAGGCGGUCGUGACAAGUCACUUGUGAAAUCUCCGGGCUUAACUCGGAACGGUCAAGUGAUACUGUCGGACUAGAGUACAGAAGGGGCAACUGGAAUUCUUGGUGUAGCGGUGAAAUGCGUAGAUAUCGAGAGGAACACCUGCGGCGAAGGCGGGUUGCUGGGCUGAUACUGACGCUGAGGCGCGAAAGCCAGGGAGCGAACGGG